rnacentral:rRNA from 1 species
GCAGCCUGAUCUAGCCAUGCCGCGUGAGUGAUGAAGGCCUUAGGGUCGUAAAACUCUUUCGCCAGGGAUGAUAAUGACAGUACCUGGUAAAGAAGCCCCGGCUAACUCCGUGCCAGCAGCCGCGGUAAUACGGAGGGGGCUAGCGUUGUUCGGAAUUACUGGGCGUAAAGCGCGCGUAGGCGGACUAUUAAGUCAGGGGUGAAAUCCCGGGGCUCAACCCCGGAACUGCCCUUGAUACUGGUAGUCUUGAGUUCGAGAGAGGUGAGUGGAAUUCCGAGUGUAGAGGUGAAAUUCGUAGAUAUUCGGAGGAACACCAGUGGCGAAGGCGGCUCACUGGCUCGAUACUGACGCUGAGGUGCGAAAGUGUGGGGAGCAAACAGGAUUAGAUACCCUGGUAGUCCACACCGUAAACGAUGAAUGCCAGUCGUCGGCAAGCAUGCUUGUCGGUGACACACCUAACGGAUUAAGCAUUCCGCCUGGGGAGUACGGUCGCAAGAUUAAAACUCAA